AAGAAUUCCCAAAGAAACCCCUCUCACUUGCAAGACUCACCAUGAACCAAACCUAACCUGGCCUUGUUUGUGACUUGAUAAAAACUCAUUUUCUGUCAAAACAUAAUAAAAAAAAAACCAAAGGGACUUCAUUCAUUUUGACUGAGCAUUUUCCUCCUCAAAUUGAAGCAACAGCAAACAGCAUGGAGAGGUUUGGUCUGCUGUCAAUUGAAACGCAGUGUGAAGCC
rnacentral:lncRNA from 1 species